AUCGCUUCUCGGCCUUUUGGCUAAGAUCAAGUGUAGUAUCUGGCUCUUAUCAGUUUAAUAUCUGAUAUGUCCCUUAUCAGGGGACCAUAUAUUAAAUUGAUUUUUGAAUCAGGGAGCCGGAAUAGGAGCUUGUUUCACCCACUCCACGCAUGGACCUGGUAUUGCAGUAUCUCCAGGAACGGUGCACUCCUC